UACGUAGGGGGCAAGCGUUGUCCGGAUUUAUUGGGCGUAAAGAGCGUGUAGGCGGCCGCACAGGUCCGUUGUGAAAACUGGAGGCUUAACCUUCAGACGUCGAUGGAAACCGUGCGGCUAGAGUCCGGAAGAGGAGUGUGGAAUUCCUGGUGUAGCGGUGAAAUGCGCAGAUAUCAGGAAGAACACCUAUGGCGAAGGCAGCACUCUGGGACGGUACUGACGCUGAGACGCGAAAGCGUGGGGAGCGAACAGG
rnacentral:rRNA from 1 species